AUUGAACGCUGGCGGCAUGCUUUACACAUGCAAGUCGAACGGCAGCGCGGGCUUCGGCCUGGCGGCGAGUGGCGAACGGGUGAGUAAUACAUCGGAACGUGCCCAGUAGUGGGGGAUAGCUCGGCGAAAGCCGGAUUAAUACCGCAUACGACCUGAGGGGGAAAGCGGGGGAUCUUCGGACCUCGCGCUAUUGGAGCGGCCGAUGGCAGAUUAGCUAGUUGGUGGGGUAAAGGCCUACCAAGGCGACGAUCUGUAGCUGGUCUGAGAGGACGACCAGCCACACUGGGACUGAGACACGGCCCAGACUCCUACGGGAGGCAGCAGUGGGGAAUUUUGGACAAUGGGCGAAAGCCUGAUCCAGCAAUGCCGCGUGUGUGAUGAAGGCCUUCGGGUUGUAAAGCACUUUUGGCGGGAACGAAAAGGACUGUGCCAAUACCACGGCUCGAUGACGGUACCCGCAGAAUAAGCACCGGCUAACUACGUG
rnacentral:rRNA from 1 species